rnacentral:rRNA from 1 species
CAGUAGCCGCGGGAAUACGGAGGAUCCAAGCGUUAUCCGGAAUCAUUGGGUUUAAAGGGUCCGUAGGCGGUCUUGUAAGUCAGUGGUGAAAGCCCAUCGCUCAACGGUGGAACGGCCAUUGAUACUGCAGGACUUGAAUUAUUGGGAAGUAACUAGAAUAUGUAGUGUAGCGGUGAAAUGCUUAGAGAUUACAUGGAAUACCAAUUGCGAAGGCAGGUUACUACCAAUUGAUUGACGCUGAUGGACGAAAGCGUGGGUAGCGAACAGGAUUAGAUACCCGCGUAGUCCCUGUCUCUUAUAU